AGCUUCUAGAAGUUGGAGAGGUGGGGAAACAUUCUCCCCCAGCGCCUCCAGAAAGGAAUACAGUCCUGACAACAUGUGGAUUUUCGCCCAGCGAGACCUGUGUGGGACUUCUGACCUACAAAACUAUAAGUUGACCUUCAGGGUAUGUCUCAGGAUGUAUAGGAACCACCCUGGAAGAAUCCACAUGAGUCUCCCAAGCAGACGACCUGAGAUACUCACAGAGAGCUGGGAUUCUCCGGUGGCCCAACUACCAUUUACAAAGAUGAAUUAUUCCAGGCUUAUUUGAGGUUAUCUGGGAACUUUUAAGGCAAAUGUGCAGACUGGUUAGUUUCCCUUAAUCAGUG